UCGGGCAAUGAUCGCGCUGGUGUCCCGGGAGGGACUUAAAAGGGAACGCGGUGAGGGAGUUAUUCUCCCGAUGCCGAGGCUGUCCCUGCAACUGUAAGCGGCGAGCGAGACGUACAUCGCGCCCUUUUCGACAGGGCGCAGCCACUGGAUCGACGCCGCAUCGGCAAGAUCUGGGAAGGCCGUAUGUCGAGCGACGACCCGUGAGCCAGGAGACCUGCCAGCGUCUGGUCGCUCUU
rnacentral:ncRNA from 1 species